rnacentral:lncRNA from 1 species
UGGGAUCGAACAAGCAGGAGAAAAAGGGGACAAACCCCUUUUGAUCUAAAAUCAACUAAUUGGAAAGGAAAUUCAAGGACAAACUAGUGCAUGAACCCCAAUUCUUGAUCAUCUAAGCUUUCUUAACAAACAGGAUAAAGGAAGAAGGUUCGAGUCACACAAAGCAAGAAGGAAGUCAAGACCGAGGUAAGGCUCAGCUUUGGGUACUUGCGACGCUCGAAACGAACACAUUAGCACUUCAUGCCGCGACACGCUUCCGAAUCUUCAUGUAAUAAAUGGGUCGAUCUUGUGGCUAUAAACUUUUAAGUAUGUUUUGUUAAAUCUAUUAGUUGAAAACUUAUGAUUGUACAACUUUUGUAAACAUCCAAUCUUGUAUAAACUACUAGAAAUGGGUAACCUUUUAUGUUAAACAAUGUUUUCCUAA